rnacentral:rRNA from 1 species
CCUACGGGGGGCGGCAGUGGGGAAUAUUAGUUAAUGUGCGAAAGCGCGAACUAGCAACGCCGCGUGUGCGAUGAAGGCCUUCGGGUUGUAAAGCACUUUUCCAGAGGACGAGGAAGGACGGUACUCUGGGAAUAAGCAUCGGCUAACUCCGUGCCAGCAGCCCCGGUC